CCACUGCUGACACAUCUUAAAUGAGGGAAAGAAUGAGAGAGAGCAAAGAAGGGUGUUUGUAGUUGCUUUCCUAUUACAGUAAAAAUGUCAUUACAGCCAACCCUGUGUCUGUGUGCAGCUCUGUGGCAGCUACAUACAGCUUCUCUGACUGUGUUUAAUCAUUUGAGAGCAAGGCAAAGACAGAACCAGCCGAGAUAAUAAUGAAGAUUCCACAUUGAACCAGCAGAAAGAAGAUAACAUCUGAGCUCUAUCUGCAAACUGUUUCAUGAGGGAAAGGAGGGGGUGUCCUCUUACACUUUGCUCUUCUUGACAUUUACAGAGACAAAGGAGGUUAGAAGGAUAGAAGCACAUUAACAUUUAUUGUUACACGGUUCUGCCUUGGAAUAAUAUUAUUGAUAGGCUAUAUAACUUAUGUGAUUUAGUAUUGUAAAGUACAGUAAUAGUCAGUAAGACAAGAUAAUGUUUUGUUUAAGUGAAGAAGAACGAGUCAAUUGGGGAGACAAAUUAUGAAUGAGGGUUUGAUUGUGAUGUUCGUUGGCUUCAUCCAUGGCACUAUCCUGCCUUUAGCAACCUAUGUUACCCAAACGGUGCCUUUCUAAGCAUUAGUGAUGCCUCUAAGCAGCAGACUACAUUUGUUUGUUUUUGUUCCUGGCGAGCUCUUGAAACUGUGGUUUAGAAAUUGCGCUUUGAUUGUCUUCUGGGAUCAAAGUAACUUCCCUCUAGGUAUGUGUGAAUCUAGGCACAUGUGUGAUUGUGCAGUAAACUAAGGGAUAAAGCAAACAGGGUGACAGGCUCUCUACUGUAGACUCUCAUGAAGGAUUUCUUCUAAAAGAGAGAGAAGGGGGGGUGGGCAUCAAUGUGUCACUAUGUCAGUCUGUGCACACAUCCUGCUGAAUCACAAAAGUGCAUCUCGUCUUUCCCAUCACAUGCUCUUUGAUGCUUUUCCACAUCACAUCACUCCAAUUUCCUCGUUACAGUUAUUUCAUCUGCCUGUGUGAGAGAAAGAACAUUGCUGCUGCUAUCAAGUCGACAAAUUCAGAAAGCAAAUCAAUUUCACACCGUCUGUUACUUCACCGCACAAUACUGUAUUGCCAAUAAACCAUACAUUUUUUAUUUAACA